GACGAACGCUGGCGGCGUGCUUAACACAUGCAAGUCGAGCGGAAAGGCCCUUUCGGGGGUACUCGAGCGGCGAACGGGUGAGUAACACGUGAGUAAUCUGCCCUGGACUUCGGGAUAGCCACCGGAAACGGUGAUUAAUACCGGAUAUGACACCAUUUCGCAUGUUGUGGUGUGGAAAGUUUUUUCGGUUCAGGAUGUGCUCGCGGCCUAUCAGCUUGAUGGUGAGGUAAUGGCUCACCAUGGCUUCGACGGGUAGCCGGCCUGAGAGGGUGACCGGUCACACUGGGACUGAGACACGGCCCAGACUCCUACGGGAGGCAGCAGUGGGGAAUAUUGGACAAUGGGCGGAAGCCUGAUCCAGCAACGCCGCGUGAGGGAUGACGGCCUUCGGGUUGUAAACCUCUUUCAGUACCGACGAAGCGCAAGUGACGGUAGGUACAGAAGAAGCACCGGCCAACUACGUGCCAGCCGCCGCAGUAAGAC
rnacentral:rRNA from 1 species